rnacentral:lncRNA from 1 species
UAUUUACUAUAAAUUAUACCUUUCUAACAAUAAUAAUAUGGUUUUGAUUCCUCAAAGAAAAAGGGUUUAAUCAAAUUUCGUUUUAUUAGUAAUAAUCACAUAUGAAAGGUUUGAUCAUUAGAAAGGUAUAAUUUAUAGCAAAUAAUUUGGGCAAAAAUGUAAUUGUAUCUCAAUUUUUAGUUUUAAAAAAAUUAUUAAUUGUGACAUGUCUCAAAUCAAUAUAUUAAUUUAUAUUUAUUAUAAGGGUAUAAUAGUAAUUAAAAAUUAAAAAUAAAUUUACUGUUAAAACAAACGGUGUUUAUUAACGGAAAGGAGGUUAUAAGUCAUUUUUGAAACGUUGAGG